rnacentral:rRNA from 1 species
GACGAACGCUGGCGGCGUGGAUUAGGCAUGCAAGUCGAACGGUAUCAUCCUUUCGGGGGUGAGAGAGUGGCGAACUGGUGAGUAACACGUAGGUUAUCUACCCUCAAGACGGGGACAACCCAGGGAAACUUGGGCUAAUACCGGAUGUGAGCAACUUUUAGUUGUUUGAAAGGUGGCGUAAGCUGUCGCUUGGGGAUGAGCCUGCGUCCUAUUAGUUAGUUGGUGAGGUAACGGCUCACCUAGGCAAUGAUAGGUAGGCGGCCUUAACGGGUGGUCGCCCACACUGGGAUUGAGAUACGGCCCAGACUCCUACGGGAGGCAGCAGUCGAGAAUAGUCUACAAUGGUCGGAAGACUGAUAGUGCGACGCCGCGUGAACGAUGAAUCCCUUCGGGGUGUAAAGUUCUUUUAUAUGUGAGCAGUGCUUCUUAUAUUAACAGUAUGGGGAGAGAGAUAUUAGCAUAUGAAUAAGCAACGGCUAACUCCGUGCCAGCAGCCGCGGUAAU